rnacentral:lncRNA from 1 species
UUUGUCAUCAGAGUUGUCUUCAUACCCAUCAUCCAUCACAGAUUCUAGUACAGUUUUGCUGGAAGGAACUGCCUUGCUUCUCCGGGGAUUGGAUUUCGACUGAUUCGAAUAAGAAGCAACACUGCGUUUCCAGUUGGACGAUAUAGGUUGGUCAUCAUCGCUGUCUUCAUACCCACUUCUCAAUGGUUCAGGUGAAACCAAAACCCUUCUCAUAUCAUUUGAGCUAGUCACAGGAGAUAUUAUAGGUGAUACCUUGGUGGAAGGAACUGCCUUGCUUCUCUGGGUAUUGGAUUUUGACUGAUUCGAAUAAGAAGCAAAAUAACGUUUCCACUUGGACGAUAUAGGUUGGUCAUCAUCGCUGUCUUCAUACCCAUUAUCCAUCACAGAUUCUGAAACAAUUUCAGUGCCCAUACUCAAUGGAACAAGACAAGGAUUCAGACAAACUUCUGACCAAAAAAGAAACCAAAGAGAAAUGUCAGAGAUUUCCAGAAAAAAGGCAAACAAACACCAUUACGACUACAAGAAGCAAAAUGAGUACACUACAGAGAAUGAGUACAGUGAUUCAUGGAGAGAGAAUCCUUAAACCCAAGAAAAA